UUAGGGGCCCCAGGUGAGAGAGAGGGGCCGCCCUCGCUCUCGUACCCUGACGUCUCCUCCUCCUCCGCGCUGCUGCUGAAACCUGGCUCUGAUGCUAUCAGAAAACAAAGACAAAUCAAUAAAGAUUAAAAUAUGAAGUCAGAAGCCGGGAAGGCUCUCAGAAGCAGUGCCAGAGGUGCUCGGGACGUCCUGACCGGGAGAGACCCAUGAGUUUGAGGGAAGUGUGGACGCCGAGGCCUGGCUGCUUUGAGAAAGCCACUCGAUGGAAAAAUGCCCCUUCAUCUUUGAGAACCAGCUGUGUCUAAAUCCAGCAAAGAAAGACAGAUAUCCAGUAUAACAACAAGCAGCUGUGCAGUUCUUCUUCUUUAGGCGGGUAUUGGUAUCAAAGCAGGCGGCUCUUUUGAAGUGGCAGGUAGAGGUUAAUGGGCUGUUUUAGAAACACUACACGAGUAUGGAGACAGUAGUCUGCAGAGACCCAACUACUGACGGAGAUAACUGCCG